UUGUGUUAAUUGAUACAUUUUUUCCGAUUUUGAUUGUUAGGGUUUUAUUUUUUUCCGAUUUUUUUUCCGAUUUUGAAUGUCAACCCUAAAGUGGAUAAUAUUUGGUACCCUAUGAAUUACUAUAUCACUUUGAUGAUUUUCUAUUUAGUAUAUGCUUUUACUAUGGUUCUGCUUUAUUUGUGUUUUGUUUAUGUAUCUGUUUCUAUUCUUACUGGCACGAUAUAUAGCUGGUUAGUUUCCUGUUAGUGUGUAAGAAUUAAUUGAGUUAUUAGACCGUCUUGAGUUCGAACUGUUUGGAUAGGAACUGAGACACCGGCCAAUAGUGUGCUCUAAGUAGUGAAAUAUCUGUUAGAUGUUGGUGUGUAUUUUUCUAGUGAAUUUUGUUGACUUUGAUUUUCUUGAUUUGGUAAAUACUAUCAGUCAAGUGCUAGGACGGUGAGGAAAGAUAAGCCACGUGGGCGUCAUCAUGGUCUCACUCAACAGAAGAGGCAAGAGAUAAAGGAAGCUUUUGAACUGUUUGACACUGAUGGCUCAGGAACUAUUGAUGCUAAGGAGUUGAAUGUUGCUAUGAGGGCUCUGGGUUUUGAGAUGACCGAAGAGGUAUAAAAUCUGUCAUUUUGUUGGUUUUUUGUUGAUUACGAUUGAAAUAUUUCUUCUCUGAAUACUUGCAAAAAGAUAACCUAUGUUCCUUCCACUAUUCUUUUUCUUCUCUGGGUUCUAAGACACUCAGACAAGGGUGUGGCCUCCUUAACUGACACUUCAAUAUUUACCCAGAGUCUCAUAAUACCUCAACGGCUCAACCAUCUCGA